GACGAACGCUGGCGGCGUGCCUAAUACAUGCAAGUCGAGCGGACAGAAGGGAGCUUGCUCCCGGAAGUUAGCGGCGGACGGGUGAGUAACACGUGGGCAACCUACCCUGUAGAUCGGGAUAACAUCGAGAAAUCGGUGCUAAUACCGGAUAAUCAUUUGAAGUGCAUGCUUCGAAUGUAAAAGAUGGCUCCGGCUAUCACUACGGGAUGGGCCCGCGGCGCAUUAGCUAGUUGGUAAGGUAAUGGCUUACCAAGGCAACGAUGCGUAGCCGACGUGAGAGGGUAAUCGGCCACACUGGGACUGAGACACGGCCCAGACUCCUACGGGAGGCAGCAGUAGGGAAUCUUCCGCAAUGGACGAAAGUCUGACGGAGCAACGCCGCGUGAGUGAUGAAGGUUUUCGGAUCGUAAAGCUCUGUUGUUAGGGAAGAACAAGUGCCGUUUGAAUAAGGCGGCACCUUGACGGUACCUAACCAGAAAGCCACGGCUAACUACGUGCCAGCCGCCGCCGUAAUAC
rnacentral:rRNA from 1 species